rnacentral:tRNA from 1 species
AAAUAAGAAGUAAAACAUUACCUCUAGUUUCGACCUAGAAAUUUGACUAAAUUAGUCCUUAUUUA